rnacentral:rRNA from 1 species
ACGAAGUCUUCGGACUGAGUGGCGGACGGGUGAGUAACGCGUGAGAAUCUGCCUAGAGGUCGGGGACAACCAUUGGAAACGAUGGCUAAUACCGGAUAUGCCUUGCGGGGUGAAAGAUUAAUUGCCUUUAGAAGAGCUCGCGUCUGAUUAGCUAGUUGGUGAGGUAAGAGCUCACCAAGGCAGCGAUCAGUAGCUGGUCUGAGAGGAUGACCAGCCACACUGGGACUGAGACACGGCCCAGACUCCUACGGGAGGCAGCAGUGGGGAAUUUUCCGCAAUGGGCGAAAGCCUGACGGAGCAAGACCGCGUGAGGGAGGAAGGCUCUUGGGUUGUAAACCUCUUUUGUCAGGGAAGAACAAAAUGACGGUACCUGACGAAUCAGCAUCGGCUAACUCCGUGCCAGCAGCCGCGGUAAUACGGAGGAUGCAAGCGUUAUCCGGAAUUAUUGGGCGUAAAGCGUCCGCAGGUGGCUGAUCAAGUCUGCGGUCAAAGACCGGGGCUUAACCCUGGAAAGGCCGUGGAAACUGAUAGAGCUAGAGUACCGUAGGGGUAGAGGGAAUUC